GUCCCUGUAGCGCAAUGGAUUGCGCGUUGGACUUUAAAUCCAAAAGUCGUGGAUUAUAAAUUCCACCUGAGAUG